rnacentral:rRNA from 1 species
UACGUAGGGGGCAAGCGUUGUCCGGAUUUAUUGGGCGUAAAGAGCGUGUAGGCGGCCAAGCAGGUCCGCUGUGAAAACUCGAGGCUCAACCUCGAGACGUCGGUGGAAACCGUUUGGCUAGAGUCCGGAAGAGGAGAGUGGAAUUCCCGGUGUAGCGGUGAAAUGCGCAGAUAUCGGGAAGAACACCCGUGGCGAAGGCGGCUCUCUGGGGACGGUACUGACGCUGAGACGCGAAAAGCGUGGGGGAGCGAACAGG